GACGAACGCUGGCGGCGUGCCUAAUACAUGCAAGUCGAACGCAGUGGGGACGGGUGAGUAACACGUGGGUAACCUCCCAUCAGAGGGGAUAACACUGGGAAACAGGUGCUAAACCGAUACUGAUGGAUGGACCCGCGGUGCAUUAGCUAGUUGGUGAGGUAACGGCUCACAAAGGCCACGAUGCAUAGCUGACCUGAGCGGGUGAUCGGACACACUGGGACUUGGACACGGCCCAGACUCCUCCGGGGGGCAGCAGUGGGGAAUGUUCGGCAAUGGACGAAAGUCUGACCGAGCAACGCCGCGUGAGUGAAGAAGGUUUUCGGAUUGUAAAACUCUGUUGUUAGAGAAGCGGUAUCUAACCAGAAAGCCACGGCUAACUACGCGCAAGCAGCCGCGGUAAUUC
rnacentral:rRNA from 1 species